GGAGUGCGUUCGGUGCGCCGUGGGUCCGCGCUGCUUCCACCCAACUUCCUGUUAGUUUCUCUCCUGUCACAAUGGCAUGAUCUCGGCUCACUGCGACCUCUGCUUCCUGGGUUCAAGGAUUCUCCUGCCUCAGCCUCCCAAGUAGCUGGGAUUACAGUUUCCAUCAUUAUCUUCUAUGGAGUUCUUCAUUCCCACAUCUGUGGACCUUAAAAUCCUACCGUUGAGUGCCUGCCUUGGAUCAGCAGUCAGUUCGUUACCUUGGUUCUCAGACGAUGCUUGCAACAACGCCAUGCGAUUCGCCCACUCUUGGGUUACAUUAGUUAUACACUCUGGAGGUGACUUGACCUGUCAUUGUGAACAAUUAUUGCUCUUGGACGACCCAGGACAUAGGCCAGCCAGUACGUACCCCAGUGUGUUGGAGAAUCGCGCUCGGCUUCUUCCUCUGUGCUGAGUCAUGAAAGUUGCCGGAGCAGGUAUGAUCCUGUUUAAGGACUGGAUUUAGGAUAACUACUUAGAGGUUAAAAGUCACAAGGGUGUAUGGAUGAGGCUGGAGUGAUCUGGGACCAAAGACAUCUAGGCUUGCUGUCAAGGCUUCUGAUCAACAUGAGAUGACCGCCGUGUGGUAAACUGAUGAACCCUGACCCUGAUCAACAUGAGAUGACCGCCGUGUGGUAAACUGAUGAACCCCGACCCUGAUGAACGUGAGAUGACCGCCGUGUGGUAAACUGAUGAACCCCGACCCUGAUGAACGUGAGAUGACCGCCGUGUGGUAAACUGAUGAACCCCGACCCUGAUGAACGUGAGAUGACCGCCGUGUGGUAAACUGAUGAACCCCGACCCUGAUGAACGUGAGAUGACCGCCGUGUGGUAAACUGAUGAACCCCGACCCUGAUCAACGUGAGAUGACCGCCGUGUGGUAAACUGAUGAACCCCGACCCUGAUGAACAUGAGAUGACCGCCGUGUGGUAAACUGAUGAACCCCGACCCUGAUCAACAUGAGAUGACCGCCGUGUGGUAAACUGAUGAACCCCGACCCUGAUCAACAUGAGAUGACUGCCGUGUGGUAAACUGAUGAACCCUGACCCAUUAGGCUUUGGCUACAGAAUGUGGAAAUAAGUUGUGUUACUACAUGUGUGUAAUCCUAGGGUGCAGGACACCGGCCGGGAGGUUCCAUAGAGUGAUGGGUUCUGCAGGUAACUCAUCCUCUAGUCCUCUGUAAGCUCCUAGAAGGAAGAAAUUAUGUCCUUUAGACUAAUAAAAUUCCUCCAAACCAAAUACAGCACCUACUGUGAAGACACAAAGAUACUUUUAGAAUAGUAAAAACUUUAUCCAUUGAGAAAUUCCUUAAUGAAACAGUAUCCAAGAAGUCAUUUGCCAGCAGAUUUCUUAGAGGUGCGAUAAAGAAGAGGACAUUGCCAGUCGUCACAGCAGCUGCAAUAGCUCCUCUCUAUUGUUAAACAGUGGGAUAUCUUGUGCAGGUUUUCAGUUGACAAUCAAUUUUAAAGAUUAGUUUCGGUCCCCAUCAAUCAAUUAUUUAUUAACCCAUCAAUAAAAAUUUAAAUGCUCUGUGAGGUACAAUAGCUAUUAAAAGAGACAGAGGC
ensembl:lncRNA LINC01128 long intergenic non-protein coding RNA 1128